GCGAGAGUGGCGGAACUGGCAGACGCGCUGGACUUAGGAUCCAGUGGGGCAACCCGUAGGGGUUCAAAUCCCCUCUCUCGCACCA
rnacentral:tRNA from 2 species